UUAUCAGACUUGUUACAAGGUUGUUCUAUAACAAGUCUGAUACAGUCAUGAUAUAACAAGAAUGUUACAAGGUUGACGACACAAGGUUGUAACAAUAUUGUUAUAUCAUGACUGUGUCGGACUUGUUAGAAAAACCUUGCAACAAGUCUGAUAA